CCUACGGGAGGCAGCAGUGAGGAAUAUUGGUCAAUGGACGAGAGUCUGAACCAGCCAAGUAGCGUGAAGGAUGACUGCCCUAUGGGUUGUAAACUUCUUUUAUAUGGGAAUAAAACGUUCCACGUGUGGGAUUUUGUAUGUACCAUAUGAAUAAGGAUCGGCUAACUCCGUGCCAGCAGCCGCGGUAAUACGGAGGAUCCGAGCGUUAUCCGGAUUUAUUGGGUUUAAAGGGAGCGUAGGUGGAUUGUUAAGUCAGUUGUGAAAGUUUGCGGCUCAACCGUAAAAUUGCAGUUGAGACUGGCAGUCUUGAGUACAGUAGAGGUGAGCGGAAGUCGUGGUGUAGCGGUGAAAUGCUUAGAGAUCACGAAGAACUCCGAUUGCGAAGGCAGUUCACUGGACUGCAACUGACACUGAGGCGCGAAAGUGGGGGUAUCAAACAGGAUUAGAUACCCGGGUAGUC
rnacentral:rRNA from 1 species